UCUCCGUUGGUGAACCAGCGGAGGGAUCAUUACUGGAAUCGCAAGAUCCCACAACCCUGUGAACCUACCGAAACGUUGCCUCGGCGGGUGCCCGGCCUCUGCGCCGGGCGCUGCGCCCGCCGGCGGCCCCCUACUCUGUCUCUGCAGCGCGGCAUCUCAGAGUCCCAGAAAACAAGUCAAAACUUUCAACAACGGAUCUCUUGGCUCUA
rnacentral:misc_RNA from 1 species